rnacentral:rRNA from 1 species
GUCCAGCUUGCUGGAUGCUGACGAGCGGCGGACGGGUGAGUAAUGCAUAGGAAUCUACCCGGUAGUGGGGGAUAACCUGGGGAAACCCAGGCUAAUACCGCAUACGUCCUACGGGAGAAAGGGGGCUUUGGCUCCCGCUAUCGGAUGAGCCUAUGCCGGAUUAGCUGGUUGGUGAGGUAACGGCUCACCAAGGCGACGAUCCGUAGCUGGUCUGAGAGGAUGAUCAGCCACAUCGGGACUGAGACACGGCCCGAACUCCUACGGGAGGCAGCAGUGGGGAAUAUUGGACAAUGGGGGCAACCCUGAUCCAGCCAUGCCGCGUGUGUGAAGAAGGCCCUCGGGUUGUAAAGCACUUUCAGCGAGGAAGAACGCCUAUCGGUUAAUACCCGGUAGGAAAGACAUCACUCGCAGAAGAAGCACCGGCUAACUCCGUGCCAGCAGCCGCGGUAAUACGGAGGGUGCAAGCGUUAAUCGGAAUUACUGGGCGUAAAGCGCGCGUAGGUGGCUUGAUAAGCCGGUUGUGAAAGCCCCGGGCUCAACCUGGGAACGGCAUCCGGAACUAUCAGGCUAGAGUGCAGGAGAGGAAGGUAGAAUUCCCGGUGUAGC